UACGGAGGGGGCAAGCGUUAUUCGGAAUUACUGGGCGUAAAGCGCGCGCAGGUGGCUUGGAAAGUGGCAGGUGAAAUCCCUUGGCUCAACCGAGGGACUGGCUGCCAAACUGCCGAGCUUGAGGCUGGGAGGGGAGAGCGGAAUUCCUGGUGUCGCGGUGAAAUGCGUAGAUACCAGGAGGAACACCGGUGGCGAAGGCGGCUCUCUGGACCAGUUCUGACACUCAUGCGCGAAAGCGUGGGGAGCAAACAGG
rnacentral:rRNA from 1 species